GCAAAAGAUAAAUAGAGGUAAUCAAGUGGCUACUUAAAUAGGAAAAAUUGUUCCCAAGGAGCUGAGAGUUUUAUUUGUAGGUCAUUUGCCCAUGGAUAGGUGGUCGGAUGGUGUCUCGAUCAUAGUGGGUGGGAUGCCUUAAGGUUAAGGUAUAAUGAUGCACUGGAAGAACUAGGUUCCAUGAUAAAAAGAAAUUUCUCAGUUCAGGUUGAAGUUAUUGGUUUGCAGCUAGGAGAUAUGGUUGUUCUUUUAAUUAUUGUUUCUUAAAAUUUUCUUUUUGUCACUAUAAAAAUGGGGAUUGGGAAAUGUCAAGUUAUUUAAAUAGACACAAUAUCAAUUCUCUUGUCCUUCUCAUAGAAGUGGAGGAAAAAUAUAUUUGAGAUAUCUAAGACAAAAAUAGUACAGCCUACCGAUGGGAUCUUUAUGGAAAACUAAUAUGAAGAGGCAUGUGAGGUAUAUUAGGCCAAACCUUGGGUGAGGCAUUUUUCUCAGUAGUUUACCCUAAAUGGGUCACAUAUUUGUUUCUUUGAAUAUGAUUUUCUUAAUGGAAAUUUUGUGCAUUUGUUUUGCUACUUGUUGGCAAAAUAAGUCUCUUCUUUUGUCUAUCACUGCACUUAUGCAAGAAUAUUUCCCAUUCCCCAUUAUACAUGACACUUUCUUCCUUUAUUGAUCCAUUUUAAUCUUGAUUAGUAGCAUAGUGCAUUAUGUUUCAAGUGCUGCUUUUCAUAUCCUUGCUGUGUAUGUUAUGCACAAAUGUUUUAACUACUGGGAACAUAGAUCAUGUCAUAUUCUAUGCCUGGUUACACAGGUAUGACUUCCCUUGGAGUCCUA
rnacentral:misc_RNA from 1 species